AACCAGGAUUAGAUACCCUAUUAUAAAAAUUUAAAUUUAUUUACUAAAAAAUUAAUAGUUAUGUUCUUUAAAUUUAAAAAAUUUGGCGGUAUUUUAGUCUUAUUAGAGGAACCUGUUUUUUAAUUGAUAAUCCACGAUUAAUUUUACUUAUUUUAUUAAUUUAUAUAUCGCUGUCAUGAAUAUAUUAAAAAAUUUAUUUUCUUUAUUUAUUCUUAUAAUUUAUGUUAAGUCAAGAUGUAGUUUAUAAAUAAGUUAAUAAUGGGUUACAUUAAAUUUUAUUUUUUGGAUUGUGAAUGAAAAUAAAACAAUGAAAUUGGAUUUAAUAGUAAAUUUAUUUAUUAAAUAGU
rnacentral:rRNA from 1 species